ensembl:lncRNA
UUUAAUUUUAUUUUCUUCCUGCUCAAGAUGUCUUAAGACUAAGACUUCAUUGGGCCAACAUCAAUUCACUCUUAGAAUUCAGCCCAUGGGAAUCAUGCCCUUGGGAACAUGUUUCUCACCUCUUCAAUCCCAGAUAGACGCACAGCCUCUACUUUCUCAUAGUGCUCUGAACAGAACUUUAUUAAGGCACUUUUCACAUCAAAUUUUCUUGUUAUCUUUCUCUUCCUAAGGUUGUGACUUCCUUAAAGCCCUGGGGAGUUUCCUUGGUUUCCAGAGUGAUGCCCAGAGAAUAUGUAUUUGGUAAAUAUCUAGUCUGCGAAUCUAAGAAUGAAUACAUUUUGUGGGUCUGUGGUCUUCUAUCAGUUCCCCGAUGCUCCCAAGAACACCUCAGUGAUGCCGUAAAGAGCGAAAUAUCUUCUUUUAAACAAAAGCCUGGCGCUCUCUCUCCACAAGGAUGGCUUUCCCAGUUCCCAAUUACAACAGUAACAGACGCGUCCAGUUACGUAUACGAUAUAUCCCCGGGGAUAAGCACUCGAUAUAGAUCCACUUUGGGGUAAGUCUCAUAUCUGCUUACGGAAUUUACAUUAUCUUGAGGCAAAGAGUUAUUGUUGGUCAUUUAUAUUUGCUACUUAAAGCUUAGAAGAAUAUAUUAAUGCAUUGGGUACUUUUGGGGUUAUUUUAAAAAGGUCUUUAAAAAAAAAAACAAAACAGAGGAUAUAUACCAGUUUUGUCCUAAAUACCAAUUCUACCUCUAAUUUAAGAAGCAAAGAACUGAAUGUUGAUUGUGCAAAAGGCACUUGUGUUCAGCCCUUUAUACAUCUUUUCUCUGGCCCUCAUUCUACCUUAUAAAAUGGACAUUUUUGUUCAUAAUUUACAGAUUAAGGCACUGAAUCUCAGAGAGGUUAAGCUACAUGAUUAAAGUCACACAGCUUGCAAAUAUUGCCAAUGGGACUUCUGACUUGAACUUUCUCACUCCCAAACUAAUCUUUCAAACACAUGGCUUAUAAGCCAAUGAAACUCUUUAGAUUUAACCAUAUAUCAUAGACUCAAAUCUAAAUAUAAACUCUCCAGAAUUUUGGGGCUCUUCAAAAAUAUUUGCAGAAUACUAGUUAUUAGAAAGUUAAGAUUAGCCAAAUUGUAUUUCUUAAGUUAUUCUUUAUCUGAAAUUUGAUUUUUUAAAAAAAUACUUUGACUUUUAUUAAUUAAUUAUAGUAUGCCUGUCACCAAUCAUGAGCUGUUACUAAUUAAAGACUACAUGAAAUAUCUCAUUUCAUUCAUUUUACUUUUUUUUUUUUUUUUUGUCUUUUUGCUAUUUCUUGGGCCGCUCCCACGGCAUAUGGAGGUUCCCAGGCUAGGGGUCCAAUCAGAGCUGUAGCCGCUGGCCUACCCCAGAGCCACAGCAACACCAGAUCCGAGCCGCGCCUGCGACCUACACCACAGCUGAAGGCAACGCCGGAUCCUUAACCCACUGAGCAAGGCCAGGGAUGGAACCCGCAACCUCAUGGUUCCUAGUCAGAUUUGUUAACCACUGAGCCAUGACAGGACCUCCUCAUUCAUUUUACUUCUAAAAUUGAUCAUUUUCUUUGUAAAUAUAAAGUUUUGACUAAAUGCUUAUGUUCCAAUAAGGAAUUCUGAAUAAACAGGGACCCGCGUGUAUUAUAUUAGACUUU